GGGCGAUUAACUCAGUGGCUAGAGUGCGUUCUUCACACGGACGAAGUCACAGGUUCAAAUCCUGUAUCGCCCAC
rnacentral:tRNA from 1 species